rnacentral:rRNA from 1 species
GAUGAACGCUGGCGGCGUGCCUAAUACAUGCAAGUCGAGCGAACAGAUGAGGAGCUUGCUCCUCUGACGUUAGCGGCGGACGGGUGAGUAACACGUGGAUAACCUACCUAUAAGACUGGGAUAACUUCGGGAAACCGGAGCUAAUACAGGACAAUAUAUUGAACCGCAUGGUUCAAUAGUGAAAGACGGUUUUGCUGUCACUUAUAGAUGGAUCCGGGCCGGAUUAGCUAGUUGGUAAGGUAACGGCUUACCAAGGCAACGAUGCGUAGCCGACCUGAGAGGAUGACCGGCCACACUGGGACUGAGACACGGCCCAGACUCCUACGGGAGGCAGCAGUGGGGAAUUUUCCGCAAUGGGCGAAAGCCUGACGGAGCAACGCCGCGUGAGGGAUGAAGGUCUUCGGAUCGUAAAACGCUUUUAUUAGGGAAGAACAAAUGUGUAAGAAACUAUGCACGUCUUGACGGUACCGGAUGAGAAAGCCACGGCUAACUACGUG